AGAGAUGUGUGAUGACGCAUAUCAAUAAGCGGAGGAAAAGAAACUAACAAGGAUUCCCCUAGUAACGGCGAGUGAAGCGGGAAGAGCUCAAAUUUGAAAUCUUCAAGGGUUUCCCUUGACGAAUUGUAGUUUAAAGAGGUGUUUUCUGUUAGAGAGGUGGUAAAAGUUCUUUGGAAUAGGACAUCAUAGAGGGUGAGAAUCCCGUAUUUGAUCACUUUCUACUAACGUUGUGAUACACUUUCAAAGAGUCGGAUUGUUUGGGGAUGCAGUCCAAAAUGGGUGGUAAAUUUCAUCUAAAGCUAAAUAUUGGCGAGAGACCGAUAGCGAACAAGUACCGUGAGGGAAAGAUGAAAAGAACUUUGAAAAGAGAGAGGUUAAACAGUACGUGAAAUUGUCAAAAGGGAAGCGUUUGACACCAGUGUUGUUUUUCUCGAAAAUCAAUUAAAAUGAUGGCUUGAUUUUAGUUGUCAUGACCUUAUAAGCUUGUCUGCUUAUUUUUCUUAUCUUUCUUAAUGCACUUUUCGUUAACAAGUCAACAUCAAUUUCUUUUGUUGUAAAAGAGUCAUGAGGAAGGUGGCUUUUCUUUCGGAAAAAGUGUUUAUAGCCUUGUAGCCUCUGCAAUCGGAGAGAUUGAGGUCUGCAGCGUAGAUCCUUCGGGGUUAGAUACAGUUAGAUGCUAAGUUAUAGCUUUUUCAUAGACAACUUGUUGACUAUGAUUAAGUCAUUGUAGCUUACUCGCUUAUGCGCUAUUUUACCUACGCUUAGGAUGUUGAAGAUGUAGCACAUCAU
rnacentral:rRNA from 1 species